rnacentral:rRNA from 1 species
UACGGGGGGGGGCAAGCGUUGUUCGGAAUUACUGGGCGUAAAGGGCUCGUAGGCGGCCAACUAAGUCGGACGUGAAAUCCCCAGGCUCAACCUGGGAACUGCGUCUGAUACUGGAUGGCUUGAAUCCGGGAGAGGGAUGCAGAAUUCCAGGUGUAGCGGUGAAAUGCGUAGAUAUCUGGAGGAAUACCGGUGGCGAAGGCGGCAUCCUGGACCGGUAUUGACGCUGAGGCGCGAAAGCUAGGGGAGCAAACGGG